UAGGGAAUCUUCGGCAAUGGACGAAAGUCUGACCGAGCAACGCCGCGUGAGUGAAGAAGGUUUUCGGAUCGUAAAACUCUGUUGGUAGAGAAGAACGUUGGUGAGAGUGGAAAGCUCAUCAAGUGACGGUAACUACCCAGAAAGGGACGGCUAACUACGUCGCCG
rnacentral:rRNA from 1 species